UGCUUUUAUCCACUGAAUAUUUGGCUACAAAAUUUAUCCAAUGGGUAAAUAUAAUUUAUUGCAGUAAAAUUGAUACUUUCUGCUUUAUACAGCUGUAUACAGCUACUUCAAUUAAUUCUGGCUCCAAAUUGCCGCCCAAAUAAAUUUGAAACAUAAAACAGGCAAUCUUAGAGCCAAUUUGCUGAAAACUCAGCCUAUAAAUAUCAAUUCAUUUCAGACCAUUAUUUUCUAUGCCAACUUUCUCUCUGUUUUGGAUUUAUGCAAACUUUCUCUCUCAUUGUUCUAAUUCUUUUAAUCUAUUUUUGAUUGAUCGAAUUCUUUUUACUGUAUUUUUUUAUAUUUAUGAUUUUUAUGUGAUUCUUUCAUUUUUGUUUUCUGUAGUUUUUUUUCAUAUUCACUAUUAGUCUCAAUUACAACUCAAAUACUAACCAAUUAUUACAAUAUUUUUUCUAUUUUAUAGAUAAUAUUUCUGAAUCUGGAGUUGCAUCUGGAGCAUGGAAGUUUUGCAUUUCGAAUCUGCAAAAGAAUCUGGAGCUACACAGAUGAAGAGUUAAUUCUGGAGCAUGGAUGUUUUGCCUUUCAAAUCUGCAAAAGCCACAAAAAAUGGUUCGUGUAUAUUCAAGAUUUAUAGGAAAAUGGAUAAAAAUUGUAAAUCUACUUUAUAAAUUGGCAGUAGAAGAAGAAAUAUGUUCAUAUGGCAUAAAAAUCAUUUUACAAUAAAUAAAGGUUGAGCUACAAGUUCUCAAUCUCUAUGGUUUAUUUGAUGAAAACACAUCACAAUUGAAUUCUAACAACAAUUAUCCAUUUAUGAGAUGCAUAUGCAGAGAUGUUGAACUAUCAAAAGCAUUGUAUGCAUUGUUCAAGGUUGUUACUUUUUGUUAGAUUUAGUAAAGUUCUUGAUUUAAAUUAAAGAAUUUCAGUUGAGUAGAAUAUGUACUUUUUACUAAGGAAAAAUAAACUUGAUUUAAGAUGGAAACACAUACAAACAUUUGUAUUUUUUUUUAAUAUGCAUGCAUAGAUAGAGAAUAUGACGAUACCUUUUUCCACUUUUCUUUUUCACUUAGUCAAGGGAAAUGAAGCUGAGGAAUUUUCGGCCACAGUCUUGUGAUUACCAGUGCAUAAUCAUAACAAAAAGUUUGUUGGAUAUUUACAUCCAUUCAGUGAAACUAAUGUGUAAAAAAAUAAAGAUAUUCCUCAACUAAUCUGGAAAAAAAAAUCUUUUUUAGAAAUGCAGAUACACCGAGAGGUUACACCCUGCAAAAGCACCAUUUUUUUAGACUUGAGCAAAUACAAAAGUGAGGGAUGUAAUACCAGGGAGAAAGGGAAGAUGCAGACAAUGAAGAAGGCUGCCGCUGGAAUUGAAAAGAUGUUCAACUCAUCUUUAUUGAAAAUAUGUUCAUUUAAUAAUACCCAUUUGUGUAUAAACUGGCAGAUCUACAAGCGAAAAAAAAUAAAGAUGUUCAUAGAUCUGCAAAAGUAAUAUGUGAAAAAAUAUAAAGAUGUUCUCUGUAUAAAAAAAAACUUAUAUGCAAAAACAAAAAUUGUUGGUUUAAGAACCAAUUUGUGUAGAUAUUCAUAAAUCUACAAAAAUGAUACCAUAAACACAAAAAAUGAAAAAGUAAAAAACGAAAAAAAUAAUAUGCUAAAGAACCUAAAGAUACUAUAAAAACAAUAAAAAAUGAAUAACUAAAAAACAAAAAACCUAUAAGCGAAAAAAAUAAAGAUCUCAGUAUAAAAAAAUUAUUCUUUUAUGAACCCAUUAGUGUAGAUAUUAUUAGAUCUAUGACAAUGAAAAUUAUAAGAUAAACACACAAAAAACUAAAGAAUGAAAAAAACUAAAAAACGAAGUAUAAAUAUUCGAAAAAAUAAAUAAAGAUCUUCUGUUUUAAAAUACAUAUCUACCGAAAAUAAUGCCAUAAACACAAAAAAAAAUGAAAAACUAAUCUACAACAAAAUGAAGAUAUUUUUGUUUGACGUGUGCAGAUAUUCACAAAUCUGCCAAAAAAAAAAGCAGACGAGGGGGAAUGGAAGGGGAAUAUGGAGAGAGGGAGAAGAGGAACAUUUGAGAAGAGGUUGGGUUAGGUGACGGUAGAAGACGGUGGAAAAUUGGAGGAGUUUGGAGACAAACUGAGGUGAGGUAGACUCUAUGGAGAAAUAUGUUUGGAGGAUUGGAUCUGGAAAGUGAAACGGCGGAUCUGUAAUGCAAUUAGGGUAGAAUUUUGGGAGAAGUGCUGAAUACUCUAGAAGCGGCUGAAACUCUAAAAACUAAU
rnacentral:lncRNA from 1 species